rnacentral:rRNA from 1 species
CAGCAGCCGCGGGAAUACGUAGGGUGCGAGCGUUAAUCGGAAUUACUGGGCGUAAAGCGUGCGCAGGCGGUUUGUUAAGACAGAUGUGAAAUCCCCGGGCUCAACCUGGGAACUGCAUUCGUGACUGGCAAGCUAGAGUAUGGCAGAGGGGGGUGGAAUUCCGCGUGUAGCAGUGAAAUGCGUAGAUAUGCGGAGGAACACCGAUGGCGAAGGCAGCCCCCUGGGCCAAUACUGACGCUCAUGCACGAAAGCGUGGGGAGCAAACAGGAUUAGAUACCCCCGUAGUCCCUGUCUCUUAUAC